rnacentral:rRNA from 1 species
GACGAACGCUGGCGGCGUGCUUAACACAUGCAAGUCGAGCGGAAAGGCCCUUUCGGGGGUACUCGAGCGGCGAACGGGUGAGUAACACGUGAGUAAUCUGCCCUUGGCUUUGGGAUAGCUUCGGGAAACCGAAAUUAAUACCGGAUAUGACCACUCCAGGCAUCUGGUGGUGGUGGAAAGUUUUUUCGGCCAGGGAUGUGCUCGCGGCCUAUCAGCUUGUUGGUGGGGUAAUGGCCUACCAAGGCUUCGACGGGUAGCCGGCCUGAGAGGGUGACCGGCCACACUGGGACUGAGACACGGCCCAGACUCCUACGGGAGGCAGCAGUGGGGAAUAUUGGACAAUGGGCGGAAGCCUGAUCCAGCAACGCCGCGUGAGGGAUGACGGCCUUCGGGUUGUAAACCUCUUUCACCACCGACGAAGCGCAAGUGACGGUAGGUGGGGAAGAAGCACCGGCCAACUACGUGCCAGCCGCCGCCGUAAUAC